rnacentral:rRNA from 1 species
UACGUAGGUGGCGAGCGUUGUCCGGAAUUACUGGGCGUAAAGAGCGCGCAGGCGGCUGGUCAAGUCCGAUGUGAAAUCUCCCGGCUUAACUGGGAAAUUGCAUCGGAAACUGAUCGGCUUGAAGGUGGGAGAGGGUAGCGGAAUUCCCGGUGUAGUGGUGAAAUGCGUAGAUAUCGGGAGGGAACACCAGUGGCGAAGGCGGCCUUCUGGG